rnacentral:rRNA from 1 species
AAUGAACGCUGGCGGCGCGCCUAAUACAUGCAAGUCGAGCGAGAAGACGUAGCAAUACGUUUGUAAAGCGGCGAACGGGUGAGGAAUACAUGGGUAACCUACCCUCGAGUGGGGAAUAACUAGCCGAAAGGUUAGCUAAUACCGCGUACGCUCCUUGGACUUCGGUUCAGGGAGGAAAGCGAUACCGUGGGGUAUCGCGCUCUUGGAUGGGCUCAUGUCCUAUCAGCUUGUUGGUGAGGUAACGGCUCACCAAGGCUUCGACGGGUAGCUGGUCUGAGAGGACGAUCAGCCACACUGGCACUGCGACACGGGCCAGGACUCCUACGGGAGGCAGCAGUAAGGAAUAUUGCGCAAUGGGCG